rnacentral:tRNA from 1 species
CAAAAUGUAGCUUAACCAAAGCCUCCCGCUUACACCGGGAUGAUAUCUGUUCAACUCAGAUCAUUUUGAG